AAAUUGAAGAGUUUGAUCAUGGCUCAGAUUGAACGCUGGCGGCAGGCCUAACACAUGCAAGUCGAACGGUAACAGAAAGAAGCUUGCUUCUUUGCUGACGAGUGGCGGACGGGUGAGUAAUGUCUGGGAAGCUGCCUGAUGGAGGGGGAUAACUACUGGAAACGGUAGCUAAUACCGCAUAACGUCG
rnacentral:rRNA from 1 species